rnacentral:rRNA from 2 species
ACUUUCAACAACGGAUCUCUUGGUUCUCGCAUCGAUGAAGAACGCAGCGAAAUGCGAUACGUAAUGUGAAUUGCAGAAUUCCGUGAAUCAUCGAAUCUUUGAACGCACAUUGCGCCCCUUGGUAUUCCAGGGGCAUGCCUGUUUGAGCGUCAUUUCCU